rnacentral:rRNA from 1 species
UACGGAGGGUGCGAGCGUUGUCCGGAAUCACUGGGCGUAAAGGGCGCGUAGGCGGCUCAUGAAGGCUGUGGUGAAAGUCCGGGGCUCAACCUCGGAUCGGCCGUGGCGACUCGUGGGCUGGAGCACUGUAGAGGCGGGUGGAAUUCCGGGUGUAGCGGUGGAAUGCGUAGAGAUCCGGAAGAACACCAGUGGCGAAGGCGGCCCGCUGGGCAGUGGCUGACGCUGAAGCGCGACAGCGUGGGGAGCAAAAGGG